UACAGAGGGUGCUAGCGUUGUUCGGAAUCAUUGGGCGUAAAGGGCGUGUAGGCGGUUUGUUAAGUCAUGUGUGAAAUCCCUCGGCUCAACCGGGGAACGACGCAUGAAACUGGCAGCUAGAGUACCAAAGAGGGGGGUGGAAUUCCCGGUGUAGCGGGUGAAAUGCGUAGAUAUCGGGAGGAACACCUGUGGCGAAGGCGGCCCCCUGGUUGGAUACUGACGCUGAUACGCGAAAGCGUGGGGAGCAACAGG
rnacentral:rRNA from 1 species